rnacentral:rRNA from 1 species
CCAAGGCGACGACGGGUAGCCGGCCUGAGAGGGUGACCGGCCACACUGGGACUGAGACACGGCCCAGACUCCUACGGGAGGCAGCAGUGGGGAAUAUUGCACAAUGGGCGAAAGCCUGACGCAGCGACGCCGCGUGAGGGAUGAAGGCCUUCGGGUUGUAAACCUCUUUCAGCAGGGACGAAGCGCAUGUGACGGUACCUGCAGAAGA